rnacentral:lncRNA from 10 species
CCGGCGCUGCGGCGUUGGCGCAGUCGUGGGAACAGCGCGGAGCAGAGAAGCACCAAAAGAGGCAAACUGAGAUGCAGACAAAUGAUCAUCCGUAUGCUGAUCAUUUUGAAUACCUUCAGCCAUGCUUCUGCCACUGCCUCUGCAGGAAAGCCACCUGCUUUAAAAAAAAGUCUUCAUGGAGUGCUUAUGAGAGGGUCGGCUGUUUUCUCCAGCUCAUUUUUCCAAAGCAAACAAUCCCACCAGCUAUCUCAGGUUUUUUAAAAUAUAUUCUUUCUUUAAAAAGAGACCAAAACCUGUCAAAAAAAUACUACCGUGGAAAGCUCAUAAAUACUACAGUGUGAAGAACCCUGUGCUUAUCUUCAGUUUAUCAUCAGACAUCUUAGGGAAGUUUAAUAAAGAACACCAGGAGAAUUGAGAAUUAAAUGAAAAGGUAAAUCCUUUUAAAGACCUCAGAAGAUGGAUCUGUUUGUUUCAAUCUGCUUUUGAGGUUGUUUGCUAUGUCUUUGGCUGAUCUAACAAAAACAAAUAUAGAUGAGCAUUUCUUCGGCGUGGCAUUAGAAAACAAUAGGAGGUCUGCAGCAUGCAAGAGAAGCCCAGGCACAGGCGAUUUUUCACGGAACAGUAAUGCUUCCAAUAAGAGUGUUGAUUAUAGCAGAUCUCAGUGCUCCUGUGGAAGUUUAAGUUCUCAGUAUGAUUAUUCAGAAGA